UACGUAGGGGGCAAGCGUUGUCCGGAAUCAUUGGGCGUAAAGAGCGCGUAGGCGGUCCGGUAAGUCCGCUCUGAAAGUCCGGGGCUCAACCCCGGGAGGCGGGCGGAUACUGUCGGGCUAGAGUCCGGAAGAGGCGAGUGGAAUUCCUGGUGUAGCGGUGAAAUGCGCAGAUAUCAGGAGGAACACCAAUGGCGAAGGCAGCUCGCUGGGACGGUACUGACGCUGAGGCGCGAAAGCGUGGGUAGCAAACAGG
rnacentral:rRNA from 1 species